ensembl:lncRNA
UGUGCAAUACAUGCAAAUGCAUUAAAUGUUCAUUUGAUUUAUAAAAAGUCAAUUCAAUAAUUAAGCUUUUGAAAUACAGAAAACAGCAGCAGAGGCAAAAACAUCAAACAUUUCUUAGAUGUUUGAUGUUCUUGCCUCUGGUGCUCUUUGAUAAAGGAAUUCAUAAUUUAUCUGUGAAUAUGCAUUUUUUUUUUUUUUUCAAGGUUUUCAAGUGUAAGGAUGCACAAGAAUGGAAAAGGGAUGUUGCAGUUUCCUGCAGAGGGCAGCAUGAGACCACAGAUCACUAGAUGAUGACGCUUGUGUUCCCACUAAUAUAUCGGUCACGCCUUACAAUCAAGAUCAAAAUUUCCUAUCUGCUGCCUGGAAGCAGUUUGGAGAGCAUGUAGACCCCUGGGAGAUAUGAGUUUGUGGCGUACAGCACAGCGGUUUGGGUCACCUUGACCCAACUAGCUGCAAAGUCCCUCAUAAGACAACAAUCCCCCGCUGAGUUUGCAGACUUCAGAAUGUAUUUGUCUUAUUUCCUCUAAACAUGGUCACUGCCUGUUCUUCAGCCAACCUAGAUCAGGAGAUCACAGGCUUUAAAAAACUCUAUCAAAUUCACUGCCUCACUGACUCAAUCAAAGCAUCUUUUUUGGGGGUGGAUGGGAGGCUGAGUCAGGGAUGGAGGUAAAAUUGGAUAAGUCCAUAAUCGCCUUUGUGGUUUUGUAGACUCUGCUUCUUAGUUGCACACGAUCUGGUGCCCUGACACAAACAGAGAGGAGGAUUAUUGGAUACUUUACUUCGGUGAGGAGUAUAGUACUUAUUAGGGCAGGAGGUCAGGGUUGAGUGGUGAAGGACAGAGGGUACGUUAGGGUGCAGUGGGCUAAUACACCAACUGAAAAUAGCUUAAGAACAGCACAAAUAUUUCCAUGCUAGUCAAGGCUGGUUUAUUCUGGUUAGGGCUGUGAACCACUCAGAAUUGAAUUGAGAAUGUUUUUUUUUUUCAGCUCCAGAACGUUUGUGAAUGAAAAAGAAUACAGAAUUAUAAUUCAGAUUUGAGUUAUCGUUAACUACAACCAUAAAAAAUGUUAAUCAUUUGAAAUAUAAUAAACAUGAACUGAAAUAACA